GCCUAAGGAUGAGUUUGCGGACUAUCAGGCAGUACUCAUGGUAAUGACCUGACUAACCUACGACGGAUACGGGUUGUGAGAGCAAUAACCCGGAGAUGAUAUCUGACACCCCAUAUCCGGCCCUACGGGGCGCAGCAGGCGCGAAAACUUCGCACUGUGCGAAAACACGACGAGGGAAUCCCAAGUGCUGGCUCGUUGGGGUCAGCUGUUUCUCUGUCUAAAAAACAAAGAGAGUAAGGGCUGGGUAAGACGGGUGCCACCCGCCGCGGUAAUACCUGCAGCCCCAGUGGUGGUCUGUAUUAUUGGGCCUAAAAAGUCCGUAGCCGGUUCUGUGAAUGCCUGGGUAAAUCGUGUAGCUUAUCUAUACGACUUCCNGGUAGACUGCAUAACUUGACAUCGGGAGAAGCUUGAAGGUACUCCUGGGGUAGAGG
rnacentral:rRNA from 1 species